AAUCACUGGUUCCCAUACGAUCACCAAAAUUAAGCAAGAUUGUGUCUGGUCAGUACCUAGCUGAGUGACUGCUUGGGAAUACCAGGUGCUGUAAG